UACGUAGGGUGCAAGCGUUACUCGGAAUUACUGGGCGUAAAGCGUGCGCAGGCGGCUUUGCAAGACGGAUGUGAAAUCCCCGGGCUCAACCUGGGAACUGCAUUUGUGACUGCAUGGCUGGAGUGCGGGAGAGGGGGAUGGAAUUCCGCGUGUAGCAGUGAAAUGCGUAGAUAUGCGGAGGAACACCGAUGGCGAAGGCAAUCCCCUGGGCCUGCACUGACGCUCAUGCACGAAAGCGUGGGGAGCAAACAGG
rnacentral:rRNA from 1 species